GAGGGUGUCACAUAGACCUGCUAACUCUUUAAUCUGGAAAUAACAACCAGCCCCCUCU
rnacentral:tRNA from 1 species